CACAUAAUUUUUCGUUUCCCCCCUUCAGCAUUAUCCCAAAUUUUGAUUUCCCACUUAUCUUUCUUCUUCUGCAUCUCGGACUCCGAUAGCAGGUUUUCCCUCCUUAUGCUUCUCUCUCAGUGUGUUGAUUCUCUGGAGUAGCUAAAGGAGAAUUAGGAUUUGAUUCGCAUCUUCAUUCCCCUUUUGCAGGCAGCAGAGGUAGAGGAGAGACCCCAAAAAUCACUGGAAAAAAACCCAGCAAGAGUAUCAAGAUUUUCUUAUGCGUUGUAUUGCACAUCACCUUGGAUUUUCUAAAGGCAGGCCUGUUGCAGCCUGCAUCAUACACAAAUGCCUAAGGCAGUGGAGAUCAUUAGAAGUCGAAAGAACUAGUAUUUUUGAUUGAAUCAUACAAACAAUUGGCCAUGCUAUUGAGGUACUCGAAACAAGGGGACGGAUGUUAACAACCUUUAAGUGAUGGUUUGUAGCCUGGUAUGGUCAUUUUCUCUGAAAUUGUCCAAACAUUUAUCCUCACAGAUUUCUGCUAUUAUUAUGUCAAAGGUAAAGUUCCAUGGCCAGAUGCAAUUAUCCACAAGUCAUUCUAUUACACAGAUGCAGUUACAACCAUGGCCAAGGGCAUGAAAUGGAGUUGUGGUCAAGAAGACGAGGAGUACGGAGUGGAUCUUAAAGCCUUGCUUCUUAUGUGCCUAUGAAACAUAACAAGAUUUUAAAUUUUUGUAUGUGGCUGUAUGUUGUUACUAUAGUUGUUAAUGAAAA